rnacentral:rRNA from 1 species
ACGAACGCUGGCGGCGUGCCUCAUACAUGCCAGUUGAGCGCUGAAGGUUGGUACUUGUACCAACUGGAUGAGCAGCGAACGGGUGAGUAACGCGUGGGGAAUCUGCCUUUGAGCGGGGGACAACAUUUGGAAACGAAUGCUAAUACCGCAUAAAAACUUUAAACACAAGUUUUCAGUUUGAAAGAUGCAAUUGCAUCACUCAAAGAUGAUCCCGCGUUGUAUUAGCUAGUUGGUGAGGUAAAGGCUCACCAAGGCGAUGAUACAUAGCCGACCUGAGAGGGUGAUCGGCCACAUUGGGACUGAGACACGGCCCAAACUCCUACGGGAGGCAGCAGUAGGGAAUCUUCGGCAAUGGACGAAAGUCUGACCGAGCAACGCCGCGUGAGUGAAGAAGGUUUUCGGAUCGUAAAACUCUGUUGGUAGAGAAGAACGUUGGUGAGAGUGGAAAGCUCAUCAAGUGACGGUAACUACCCAGAAAGGGACGGCUAACUACGUG